rnacentral:rRNA from 1 species
CCAACGGGUGGCUGCAGUGGGGAAUAUUGGGCAAUGGGGGAAACCCUGACCCAGCAACGCCGCGUGAAGGACGAAGGCCUUCGGGUUGUAAACUUCUUUGAUCAGGGACGAAACAAAUGACGGUACCUGAAGAACAAGCCACGGCUAACUACGUGCCAGCAGCCGCGGUAAUACGUAGAGGGCAAGCGUUAUCCGGAUUUAAUGGGGGUAAAGGGCGUGUAGGCGGGUUUGCAAGUCGGAUGUGAAAUUCCCGGGCUUAACUCGGGCAGGU